rnacentral:rRNA from 1 species
AUUCGGUUCGUAGGUGACCUGCGGAGGACA